rnacentral:rRNA from 1 species
UACAGAGGGUGCAAGCGUUGUUCGGAAUUAUUGGGCGUAAAGCGCGUGUAGGCGGCAUGGCAAGUCGGGUGUGAAAGCCCUCAGCUCAACUGAGGAAGUGCGCCCGAAACUGCUUUGCUUGAGUGCUGGAGAGGGUCGCGGAAUUCCCCAAGUAGAGGUGAAAUUCGUAGAUAUGGGGAGGAACACCGGUGGCGAAGGCGGCGACCUGGACAGUAACUGACGCUGAGACGCGAAAGCGUGGGGAGCGAACAGG